UUUCUCCUACGGGGGGCAGCAGUGAGGAAUAUUGGUCAAUGGCCGCAGGGCUGAACCAGCCAAGUCGCGUGAGGGAUGACGGUCCUAUGGAUUGUAAACCUCUUUUGUCAGGGAGCAAAGGGCGCCACGUGUGGCGUUUUGCGAGUACCUGAAGAAAAAGCAUCGGCUAACACCGUGCCAGCAGCCGCGGUAAUACGGAGGAUGCGAGCGUUAUCCGGAUUUAUUGGGUUUAAAGGGUGCGUAGGCGGAUUUUUAAGUCAGCGGUAAAUGUCCGGGCUCAACCCGGGCCGGCCGUUGAAACUGGG
rnacentral:rRNA from 1 species